rnacentral:rRNA from 1 species
CCCUUAGAUGUUCUGGGCCGCACGCGCGCUACACUGAUGCAUUCAACGAGCCUAUCCUUGACCGACAGGUCCGGGUAAUCUUUGAAUCUGCAUCGUGACGGGGAUAGAUUAUUGCAAUUAUUAAUCUUCAACGAGGAAUGCCUAGUAGGCGCAAGUCAUCAGCUUGCGUCGAUUACGUCCCUGCCCUUUGUACACACCGCCCGUCGCUCCUACCGAUUGGGUGUGCUGGUGAAAUGUUCGGAUCGGCCGUUUGUCGCGGUUUCCGCGUCAUGUGGCUGAGAAGUUCAUUAAACCCUCCCACCUAGAGGAAGGAGAAGUCGCAACA